rnacentral:rRNA from 1 species
UACGUAGGGGGCGAGCGUUGUCCGGAGUUACUGGGCGUAAAGCGCACGCAGGCGGUCUGCUAAGUUUGGAGUGACAGUUGGUGGCUUAACUGCCAAAGUGCUUCGAAAACUGACAGACUUGAGGGCUUCAGAGGGACACGGAAUUCCCGGUGUAGUGGUGAAAUGCGUAGAGAUCGGGAAGAACACCCGUGGCGAAGGCGGCCGGCUGGGCCGACCCUGACACUGAGGCGCGAAGGCGUGGGGAGCGAACGGG